UACGAGGGGUGCGAGCGUUGCUCGGAAUUAUUGGGCGUAAAGGGUAGGUAGGUGGUUUCGUUUGUCUGGGGUGAAAGCCUUGAGCUUAACUCAAGAAGUGCCUCGGAAACGGCGAAACUCGAGUACUGGAGAGGGUCGUGGAAUUCCCGGUGUAGCGGUGAAAUGCGCAGAUAUCAGGAGGAACACCGGUGGCGAAGGCGGCCAACUGGACCAUUACUGACGCUGAGGCGCGAAAGCGUGGGGAGCAAACAGG
rnacentral:rRNA from 1 species